CGGCGGAUGGGUGAGUAACACGUGGGUAACCUACCUACAAGCUUGGGAUAACUCGUGGAAACGCGAACUAAUACCAAAUGCGAUCUUUUACCUCCUGGUAAAAGAUUAAAAGACGGUUUCGGCUGUCACUUGUAGACGGGCCCGUGGCGCAUUAGCUAGUUGGUGAGAUAAAAGCUUACCAAGGCAACGAUGCGUAGCCGACCUGAGAGGGUGAUCGGCCACACUGGGACUGAGACACGGCCCAGACUCCUACGGGAGGCAGCAGUAGGGAAUCUUCCGCAAUGGACGAAAGUCUGACGGAGCGACGCCGCGUGAAUGAUGAAGAUCUUCGGAUCGUAAAAUUCUGUUGUUAGGGAUGAACAAGUGUGAGCGUAACUACUCACACCUUGACAGUACUUAACCAGAAAGCCCCGGCUAACUACGUGCCAGCAGCCGCGGUAAUACGUAGGGGGCGAGCGUUGUCCGGAAUUAUUGGGCGUAAA
rnacentral:rRNA from 1 species